AUACGGGAGGCAGCAGUGGGGAAUAUUGGACAAUGGGGGAAACCCUGAUCCAGCAAUGCCGCGUGAGUGAUGAAGGCCCUAGGGUUGUAAAGCUCUUUUACCCGGGAAGAUAAUGACUGUACCGGGAGAAUAAGCCCCGGCUAACUCCGUGCCAGCGGCCGCGGUAAUACGGAGGGGGCUAGCGUUGUUCGGAAUUACUGGGCGUAAAGCGCACGUAGGCGGCUUUGUAAGUUAGAGGUGAAAGCCCAGGGCUUAACCCUGGAAUUGCCUUUAAGACUGCAUCGCUAGAAUCGUGGAGAGGUGAGUGGAAUUCCGAGUGUAGAGGUGAAAUUCGUAGAUAUUCGGAAGAACACCAGUGGCGAAGGCGACUCACUGGACACGUAUUGACGCUGAGGUGCGAAAGCGUGGGGAGCAAACAGGAUUAGAUACCCCGGUAGU
rnacentral:rRNA from 1 species